GCCUUCGUGGUGUAAUAGCCAGCAUACAGAACGCGUAUUCGAGAGGUCCGAGGUUCGAGUCCCGGCGAGGGCA
rnacentral:tRNA from 1 species